GAUGAACGCUGGCGGCGUGCCUAAUACAUGCAAGUAGAACGCUGAAGCUUGGUGCUUGCCCCGAGCGGAUGAGUUGCGAACGGGUGAGUAACGCGUAGGUAACCUGCCUGGUAGCGGGGGAUAACUAUUGGAAACGAUAGCUAAUACCGCAUAACAGUAGAUAUUGCAUGAUAUCUGCUUGAAAGGUGCAAAUGCAUCACUACCAGAUGGACCUGCGUUGUAUUAGCUAGUUGGUGAGGUAACGGCUCACCAAGGCGACGAUACAUAGCCGACCUGAGAGGGUGAUCGGCCACACUGGGACUGAGACACGGCCCAGACUCCUACGGGAGGCAGCAGUAGGGAAUCUUCGGCAAUGGGGGGAACCCUGACCGAGCAACGCCGCGUGAGUGAAGAAGGUUUUCGGAUCGUAAAGCUCUGUUGUAAGAGAAGAACGAGUGUGAGAGUGGAAAGUUCACACUGUGACGGUAUCUUACCAGAAAGGGACGGCUAACUACGUG
rnacentral:rRNA from 1 species